rnacentral:lncRNA from 1 species
AUUUUUACACUAUUAUUAUGCUUCAUAACUAGUUUCCUGUACUUUUUAUGUGCAGAACACUGAGAUAGCAAAGGAUGCCAUAGAUUCCUUAGACAGAAACUACAGCCAGGAAGCAGCUGUCCUACUUUAAGUGAGAGAGGGGGAAACAGGAGAGCAUCAAGACAUCUAAGGGAGCAGAAAUCUCUGUGGUCUGUGGAAAAAGACCCAUCUUCUGAUGGGUGAAAAUACAGUGACUGGCUGCUCUUGCAGUAUUUGCAAUGAAUAUCAUGAGAACAAGCUGUUCCUGUGACAUUCUUGGCUUGGCCAUCUGGUAGGAAAAACAGGGGAAUGAGCGGGAAGAAAAGGAAAUGGCAAGAGGACUCUGAGUGUGCAGGCAUGUGCGUGUGUGUAUACACAUCAGGGAAGGUUUUAAAACUCUGGCCUGACAUCUCACUACCUGUCUUUGGAUGAUGGUGUUUCAGACAACUGCAUUGAUU